AAAAGAACUACGUUCACUGCAUCCAAAACUUCAGCCAAAUCGCAUCCUAUAUCUCUCGGAACUAGCUCUGCCUCAACUUCCCUUGCAAUUGAAUCCAACUCGGCCAUCCACUCGCUCAUAUUCUUUCCAGCCAGAGGCAUGGCUUCCACGCAUUUCCAAUCCGGUGUCUCAGACGGCAACGAAGCAGAUCUCCUUUCCUCGGCCAUCCACUCGCUCAUAUUCUUUCCAGCCAGAGGCAUGGCUUCCACGCAUUUCCAGUCCAGUGUCUCAGACGGCAACGAAGCAGAUCUCCUUUCAUUUUGGAGUGAAUAAGCGUCGAUUUCUCGGUUGAAAGCCAUAAAUGCCUCGUCUUCAGAAGCAAC
rnacentral:lncRNA from 1 species